CCUACGGGUGGCAGCAGUCGAGAAUCAUUCACAAUGGGGGAAACCCUGAUGGUGCGACGCCGCGUGGGGGAAUGAAGGUCUUCGGAUUGUAAACCCCUGUCAUGUGGGAGCAAAUGAAACAGAGAGUACCACAAUAGGAAGUACCGGCUAACACUGUGCCAGCAGCCGCGGUAAGACAGAGGUCUCAAGUGUUGUUCGGAAUCACUGGGGGUAAAGCGGGCGGAGGCGGUUGCGUAAGUAGUGUGGGAAAGGCGCGGGCUCAAACCGCGGACGGCACAUGAUACUGCGAGACUAGAGUAAUGGAGGGGGAUCCGGAAUUCGCGGUGUAGCAGUGAAAUGCGUAGAUAUCGAGCGGAACACUCGUGGCGAAGGCGGGUUCCUGGACAUUAACUGACGCUGAGGCACGAAGGCCAGGGGAGCGAAAGGGAUUAGAUACCCGAGUAGUC
rnacentral:rRNA from 1 species